CUGCAGCAUAAAACUUUCAUUCUCUUCAUUUCUCCGGAUGGAUGUUCUUGCCAUUUUUUCCUCUUUCGCUCUAUUUGCCUGUUUUGGCUGUCAGAGUCUUGCCUCUCUCUGUCCUCAUCUCCACCGUCGUUUGCCUCUCAGUAACUGUGAGGAGCAGUUUCUUUUUUGCUGUUUCCUUCCCAAGCCUCUUCUUUCCUCUAACCUGCCUCUUUGCUUUUCAGUUCUUCCCUCCUCCUCCUGCCUCAGCCCUAAGCCUGCGAUCUCGGCUGGCAGUUUCUGAGCUCCGAGCGCUCCGCUUCUCUGUUUUUGCGCAGCGCCCUCAUUCUGCCAACCAAUCGCCGAGGAGCACCACCCACCGAGUCAGAGCUAAUUGGACAAACCGGCCGUCAGGAAUGCGCGUCACGCAGUAACCGGGCCGGGCGGGAUGGAACCCGCGCCUGGGCUGCCUGGGUGAGUGUGAGUGUGAGAGCGAGAACAGCCCGGCAGGUCCCGAGGUGCUAGCUGGGGACUCUGCCACGGAAAGUUCCCAGUCCCCAGCCGCAGAUCUGCAGGAUUGAAAUGAAAUGUUUUGAGGUCUUCAAGCUGACUCAUCGGAAUAAUCCUGGAGCAUUUUUAAAAUGACGGAAAUGAAAGGAAAUGACUUAAAGACAAUUUUAAAUAUAGGAAGAAAUCACCAAAGGAAGAAGAUGAUAGAAUUUUAUUUACUUACUAGGAGCCUGGAGGGCUACCAUCCAUGGGGUUCCAGAGAGUUGGAUUCAACUGGGUUACUAACACUUUCAUUUUCACUUUGCUGUUGACAGAACAGUUUGAGAGGUAUGUUUUUCUUUAUUUUCAGCCUUUACCUCUUGGUAUUUCUGUACUUUCUGUACCCAAGUGACUUCCUAUUAGAUAUUUUCUUUGAAUUUCUCAGUAAAUAACUCAAACCUGACAUGUUAAACUGAACCAAACAUGUUUGUUUAUUGGUUUGAUUUUGUGGUAAC
ensembl:lncRNA